rnacentral:rRNA from 1 species
UACGGGGGGAGCAAGCGUUGUUCGGAUUUACUGGGCGUAAAGGGCGGGUAGGCGGCCACUGCAAGUCGGUUGUGAAAUCUCCGGGCUUAACCCGGAAAGGUCAAUCGAUACUGCAGGGCUAGAGUGCAGAAGGGGCAACUGGAAUUCUCGGUGUAGCGGUGAAAUGCGUAGAUAUCGAGAGGAACACCUGCGGCGAAGGCGGGUUGCUGGGCUGACACUGACGCUGAACUGCGAAAGCUAGGGGAGCAAACGGG